rnacentral:rRNA from 1 species
GAUGAACGCUGGCGGCGUGCUUAACACAUGCAAGUCGAACGGAAAGGCUCCUGCUUGCAGGGGUACUCGAGUGGCGAACGGGUGAGUAACACGUGGGUGAUCUGCCCUGCACUUCGGGAUAAGCCUGGGAAACUGGGUCUAAUACCGGAUAGGACGAUGGUUUGGAUGCCAUUGUGGAAAGUUUUUUCGGUGUGGGAUGAGCUCGCGGCCUAUCAGCUUGUUGGUGGGGUAAUGGCCUACCAAGGCGUCGACGGGUAGCCGGCCUGAGAGGGUGUACGGCCACAUUGGGCCUGAGAUACGGCACAGACUCGUACGGGAGGCAGCAGUGGGGAAUAUUGCACAAUGGGCGCAAGCAUGAUGCAGCGAAGCAGCGUGGGGGAUGACGGCCUUCGGGUUGUAAACUCCUUUCGUUAGGGACGAAGCGCAAGUGACGGUACCUGGAGAAGAAGCACCGGCUAACUACGUG